rnacentral:rRNA from 1 species
ACCAAGGCGACGAUCAGUAGCCGACCUGAGAGGGUGAUCGGCCACAUUGGAACUGAGACACGGUCCAAACUCCUACGGGAGGCAGCAGUGGGGAAUAUUGCACAAUGGGCGAAAGCCUGAUGCAGCAACGCCGCGUGAGUGAUGAAGGCCUUCGGGUCGUAAAACUCUGUCCUCAAGGAAGAUAAUGACGGUACUUGAGGAGGAAGCCCCGGCUAACUACGUGCCAGCAGCCGCGGUAAUACGUAGGGGGCUAGCGUUAUCCGGAUUUACUGGGCGUAAAGGGUGCGUAGGCGGUCUUUCAAGUCAGGAGUGAAAGGCUACGGCUCAACCGUAGUAAGCUCUUGAAACUGGGAGACUUGAGUGCAGGAGAGGAGAGUGGAAUUCCUAGUGUAGCGGUGAAAUGCGUAGAUAUUAGGAGGAACACCAGUUGCGAAGGCGGCUCUCUGGACUGUAACUGACGCUGAGGCACGAAAGCGUGGGGAGCAAACAGGAUUAGAUACCCUGGUAGUCCACGCUGUAAACGAUGAGUACUAGGUGUCGGGGGUUACCCCCUUCGGUGCCGCAG